AAUCCAUAGGUUAAUGAGGCGAACCGGGGGAACUGAAACAUCUAAGUACCCCGAGGAAAAGAAAUCAACCGAGAUUCCCCCAGUAGCGGCGAGCGAACGGGGAGGAGCCCAGAGCCUGAAUCAGCAUGUGUGUUAGUGGAAGCGUCUGGAAAGGCGCGCGAUACAGGGUGACAGCCCCGUACACAAAAGCGCAUGUGCUGUGAGCUCGAUGAGUAGGGCGGGACACGUGGUAUCCUGUCUGAAUAUGGGGGGACCAUCCUCCAAGGCUAAAUACUCCUGACUGACCGAUAGUGAACCAGUACCGUGAGGGAAAGGCGAAAAGAACCCCGGCGAGGGGAGUGAAAAAGAACCUGAAACCGUGUACGUACAAGCAGUGGGAGCACCCUUUGGGUGUGACUGCGUACCUUUUGUAUAAUGGGUCAGCGACUUAUAUUCUGUAGCAAGGUUAACCGAAUAGGGGAGCCGGAGGGAAACCGAGUCUUAACCGGGCGUUAAGUUGCAGGGUAUAGACCCGAAACCCGGUGAUCUAGCCAUGGGCAGGUUGAAGGUUGGGUAACACUAACUGGAGGACCGAACCGACUAAUGUUGAAAAAUUAGCGGAUGACCUGUGGCUGGGGGUGAAAGGCCAAUCAAACCGGGAGAUAGCUGGUUCUCCCCGAAAGCUAUUUAGGUAGCGCCUCGUGAAUUCAUCUCCGGGGGUAGAGCACUGUUUCGGCUAGGGGGCCAUCCCGGCUUACCAACCCGAUGCAAACUGCGAAUACCGGAGAAUGUUAUCACGGGAGACACACGGCGGGUGCUAACGUCCGUCGUGAAGAGGGAAACAACCCAGACCGCCAGCUAAGGUCCCAAAGUCAUGGUUAAGUGGGAAACGAUGUGGGAAGGCCCAGACAGCCAGGAUGUUGGCUUAGAAGCAGCCAUCAUUUAAAGAAAGCGUAAUAGCUCACUGGUCGAGUCGGCCUGCGCGGAAGAUGUAACGGGGCUAAACCAUGCACCGAAGCUGCGGCAGCGACACUGUGUGUUGUUGGGUAGGGGAGCGUUCUGUAAGCCUGUGAAGGUGUGUCGUGAGGCAUGCUGGAGGUAUCAGAAGUGCGAAUGCUGACAUAAGUAACGAUAAAGCGGGUGAAAAGCCCGCUCGCCGGAAGACCAAGGGUUCCUGUCCAACGUUAAUCGGGGCAGGGUGAGUCGACCCCUAAGGCGAGGCCGAAAGGCGUAGUCGAUGGGAAACGGGUUAAUAUUCCCGUACUUGGUGUUACUGCGAAGGGGGGACGGAGAAGGCUAUGUUGGCCGGGCGACGGUUGUCCCGGUUUAAGCGUGUAGGUGUGUGUUC
rnacentral:rRNA from 1 species